rnacentral:rRNA from 1 species
AUGAUGCGUCCCAUUAUUAAGCCAUGGCCGUUUAGAGGAUGGGGUUUAGAUUUUAUUGGUCAAAUAUACCCUGCUUCAUCUAAAGGUCAUCGCUUCGUCCUAGUAGUUACAGAUUAUUUUACCAAAUGGACUGAAGCAAUUCCUUUAAGAAAUAUGACCCAUAAGGAAGUGAUUAAUUUUGUUUUGGAGCAUAUUAUUCGCAAAUUAGGUAUUCCUCAAACUUUGACUACCGAUCAAGGUUCUUCUUUUAUGUCUCAUCAAUUUGGUGAGUUUGCCGAAUCUUUUAGAAUUAAAUUGUUAAAUUUGUCGCCUUAUUAUGCUCAAGCUAACGGACAUGCCGAAUCUAGCAAUAAAACUUUAAUUAAGCUUAUAAAGAAUAAAAUUAAGGAGCAUCCAAGAAAGUGGCAUGAAGUGCUUUCGGAGGCUUUAUGGGCUCAUCGGAUAUCUAAGCAUGGAGCAACUCAAGUGACACCAUAUGAGUUGGUGUAUGGACAGGAAGCAGUGUUACCUGUAGAGGUUAAUUUGCAAGCUCUUAGAGUAGCCAGACAAAAUGAUUUGUCGACUGUAGACUAUAAUAAUUUGAUGCUGGACAGAAUUGAUGAUGUUCCAGAAGAAAGAUUAAGAGCCUUACAGGAAAUUGAAAAAGAAAAGUUAAGAGUAGCUAAAGCUUAUAACAAAAGGGUGAGGGAAAAAUCGUUUCAAAUAGGAGACUUGGUGUGGAAAACGAUUUUGCCUGUUAACUAG